rnacentral:rRNA from 1 species
GAUGAACGCUAGCGGCAGGCUUAACACAUGCAAGUCGAGGGGUAUAGUUCUUCGGAAUUAGAGACCGGCGCACGGGUGCGUAACGCGUAUGCAAUCUACCUUUCACAGAGGGAUAGCCCCAGAGAAAUUUGGAUUAAUACCUCAUAGUAUAGCAGUUUCGCAUGAAACCACUAUUAAAGUCACAACGGUGAAAGAUGAGCAUGCGUCCCAUUAGCUAGUUGGUAAGGUAACGGCUUACCAAGGCAACGAUGGGUAGGGGUCCUGAGAGGGAGAUCCCCCACACUGGUACUGAGACACGGACCAGACUCCUACGGGAGGCAGCAGUGAGGAAUAUUGGACAAUGGGCGCAAGCCUGAUCCAGCCAUGCCGCGUGCAGGAUGACGGUCCUAUGGAUUGUAAACUGCUUUUAUACAGGAAGAAACACUACUUCGUGAAGUAGCUUGACGGUACUGUAAGAAUAAGGNUACGGCUAACUCCGUGCCAGCA